rnacentral:tRNA from 1 species
GGGUUUGUAGCUCAAUGGUAGAGCAAAGAGCUUUUAACUCUUUGGUUGCGGGUUCGAGUCCUGCCAGACUC